rnacentral:rRNA from 1 species
UACGAAGGGGGCUAGCGUUGCUCGGAAUCACUGGGCGUAAAGCGCACGUAGGCGGAUUGUUAAGUCAGGGGUGAAAUCCUGGAGCUCAACUCCAGAACUGCCUUUGAUACUGGCGAUCUCGAGUCCGGGAGAGGUGAGUGGAACUGCGAGUGUAGAGGUGAAAUUCGUAGAUAUUCGCGAGAACACCAGUGGCGAAGGCGGCUCACUGGCCCGGUACUGACGCUGAGGUGCGAAAGCGUGGGGAGCAAACAGGG